rnacentral:SRP_RNA from 2 species
GCCGGGCGCGGUGGCUCAUGCCUGUAAUCCUAGCACCUUGGGAGGCCGAGGUGGGCGGAUUACCUGAGGUCAGGAGUUCAAGACCAGCCUGACCAACAUGGUGAAACCCCAUCUCUA